rnacentral:SRP_RNA from 1 species
GCCGGGCGCGGUGGCGCACGCCUGUAGUCCCAGCUACUCGGGAGGCUGAGACAGGAGGAUCGCUUGAGUCCAGGAGUUCUGGGCUGUAGUGCGCUAUGCCGAUCGGGUGUCCGCACUAAGUUCGGCAUCAAUAUGGUGACCUCCCGGGAGCGGGGGACCACCAGGUUGCCUAAGGAGGGGUGAACCGGCCCAGGUCGGAAACGGAGCAGGUCAAAACUCCCGUGCUGAUCUCUCAAUAUGCAUAUGCAUUGUCUAUAUGUAAAAAAGGUACCAUCACACUAAGUAAUAGCUCUCU